rnacentral:rRNA from 1 species
GCGCAAUGGGGGAAACCCUGACGCAGUGACGCCGCGUGAACGAUGAAGUCUUCGGGAUGUAAAGUUCUGUCAGGCGGGAAGAAUCUUUCCCCGAUGCAAAUCGGGGGAGAAUGACGGUACCGCCAAAGGAAGCACCGGCUAAUUCCGUGCCAGCAGCCGCGGUAACACGGAGGGUGCAAGCGUUGUUCGGAAUUACUAGGCGUAAAGAGCGUGUAGGUGGUUAGCUAAGUCGGAUGUGAAAAUCCCAAGCUUAACUUGGAACGUGCAUUCGAAACUGGUUAACUUGAGUGUAGGAGAGGAGAGCGGAAUUCCUAGUGUAGCGGUGAAAUGCGUAGAUAUUAGGAAGAACACCGGUGGCGAAGGCGGCUYUCUGGCCUAAAACUGACACUGAGACGCGAAAGCGUGGGUAGCAAACAGGAUUAGAUACCCUGGUAGUCCACGCCGUAAACGAUGGGCAUUAGGUGUAGGAGGUAUCCAAUCCUUCUGUGCCGAAGUAACGCAUUAAAUGCCCCG